rnacentral:rRNA from 1 species
AACGAACGCUGGCGGCGUGCCUAACACAUGCAAGUCGAGCGAGAAAGUCCGCAAGGAUGAGUACAGCGGCGCACGGGUGCGUAACACGUGGGUAAUCUGCCCUGAAGCCCGGAAUAACCUCCCGAAAGGGAAGCUAAUGCCGGAUAAGACCACGGGAGCCUCGGCUCCUGCGGGAAAAGGUGGCCUCUGUACACAAGCUAUCACUUCAGGAUGAGCCCGCGGCCCAUCAGCUCGUUGGCGGGGUAACGGCCCACCAAGGCUACGACGGGUAGCUGGUCUGAGAGGACGAUCAGCCACACUGGAACUGAGACACGGUCCAGACUCCUACGGGAGGCAGCAGUGGGGAAUCUUGCGCAAUGGGCGAAAGCCUGACGCAGCAACGCCGCGUGUGUGAUGAAGGUCUUCGGAUCGUAAAGCACUGUCGGGAGGAAAGAACAAGCCUGUGGCUAACAUCCACGGGCCUUGACGGUACCUCCAAAGGAAGCACCGGCUAACUCUGUGCCAGCAGCCGCGGUAACAC